AUACGUAGGGUGCAAGCGUUAAUCGGAAUUACUGGGCGUAAAGCGUGCGCAGGCGGUUUUGUAAGACAGUGGUGAAAUCCCCGGGCUCAACCUGGGAACUGCCAUUGUGACUGCAAGGCUGGAGUGCGGCAGAGGGGGAUGGAAUUCCGCGUGUAGCAGUGAAAUGCGUAGAUAUGGGGAGGAACACCGAUGGCGAAGGCAAUCCCCUGGGCCUGCACUGACGCUCAUGCACGAAAGCGUGGGGAGCAAACAGGAUUAGAUACCCUGGUAGUCCACGCCCUAAACGAUGUCAACUGGUUGUUGGGGAUUUAGUUUCUCAGUAACGAAGCUAACGCGUGAAGUUGACCGCCUGGGGAGUACGGCCGCAAGGUUAAAACUCAAAGGAAUUGACGGGG
rnacentral:rRNA from 1 species